CAAGGCGUUUAUGACUGUUAUCCUGAUUUGUUUUUCAACGAAAAUGUCUGUAUUUCAUCUAUAAAUGUGAAUAAUAAUAUAUUGUAUAGUUUUAUACAGUGCAAAACUGCAGACAAAACCAUUUUAUCGAUAGCGGUUCGUCUAGAAUGAAUUAAAACGCAGGCGCCACCGUGCAGGAAGUAAGUAACCUUCGUAUUUGUAUUAUUUACAUAAUUAUUUUAUUUAUAUG